AUGAAGACGGACGACGAAACGUGGAAAUUGUUAUUUCCAAUAUGUAUUAACGCGGUAAUGUCCGUGAGUGCGUAUUGCUUAACCGUACAUUUAAUUCCAAGAAUAAAAGACAAGUUUAUCAAAGCUAACCUCCACGGCGUCGACAUGAAUAAGAGAAGCGGAGAUAAAAUACCUGAGGCGAUAGGUGUUGUUACAGGAUGUAUAUUUCUCAUAACAAUGUUUCUAUUUAUCCCCGUACCGUUUACAGAUUACAUAUUUAGAAACGAACAUUUCCCGCACAAUAAGUUUGUGGAAUUUUUGGCUGCAUUACUGUCCAUAUGUUGCAUGCUACUUUUGGGCUUUGCCGAUGAUGUCUUGGACCUCCGUUGGCGACAUAAAUUACUUUUACCCACUAUAGCAUCUUUGCCACUACUGAUGGUUUAUUACGUUAACGUUAACUCCACGAUUGUCAUCGUGCCAAAACCAUUGAGACCAUGGCUUGGUUUCUCACUGGACUUGUGGAUAUUCUACUACGUAUACAUGGGAAUGUUGGCUGUGUUUUGUACAAAUGCCAUAAAUAUAUUAGCCGGGAUAAAUGGUUUGGAAGUUGGACAGAGCUUGAUCAUUGCCGCGAGCGUUCUUAUCUUUAACGUCACAGAAUUAUUUGGCGGCCAAUGGAAGGCACAUCAGUUUUCAAUAUACUUUAUGCUGCCGUACAUGGCUACUUCCCUCGCAUUGUUCAAGUUUAAUCGGUAUCCGUCGCAAGUUUUUGUGGGCGAUACGUUUUGUUAUCUAUCGGGAAUGACCUUCGCCGUAGUCGGCAUCUUAGGUCACUUCAGUAAAACGUGUUUGCUCUUCUUCAUUCCUCAAAUAGUAAAUUUUUUAUAUAGCGUGCCGCAGCUCUUUCACUUCGUACCGUGUCCCAGGCACAGAUUACCAAAGUAUAAUAAAGAAACGGACAAAUUGGAGCCUAGUACGACUGUAUUUCAUAAAUCGGAUCUCAAUGCGAUUGGAAGAUUAUUGAUGUGGAUAUUAAAAAUUUUCAAGUUGGUAAAGUGGCAAGAAGACGAAAAAGGCAUUGUAAUUUGCAACAAUCUAACGUUGAUCAAUUUUAUACUGAUUAAUGUAGGCCCAUUGAGAGAACCAACGCUUACAUCAAUUUUAAUGAUAAUUCAGGUUAUUUGUAGUGCAGUAGCUUUCGUUAUUAGAUAUCCCUUGGCUUCCAUAUUUUAUGAUGUUUAAAUAGGCGCACAAUUGUACGUUUUCUCAUGUAUGAAAUGUAACGUACAUAUUUAAAGGGUAAUUAUUAUUAGGAUCCUAAGAAACACAU
rnacentral:misc_RNA from 1 species